ACGAACGCUGGCGGCGUGCUUAACACAUGCAAGUCGAACGAGGUCCACGCAGUAGCAAUACUGCCGAAGACCUAGUGGCGAACGGGUGCGUAACACGUGAGGAACUUGUCCCGGUCUCUGGGAUAACAGUUGGAAACGACUGCUAAUACCGGAUGCCGUCGGAGCGUCGCAUGGCGCGCUGACGAAAGGGUUACUGGAUCGGGAGAGCCUCGCGGCCUAUCAGCUUGUUGGUGGGGUAACGGCCUACCAAGGCAUCGACGGGUAGCUGGUCUGAGAGGAUGAUCAGCCACACUGGGACUGAGACACGGCCCAGACUCCUACGGGAGGCAGCAGUGGGGAAUCUUGCGCAAUGGGCGAAAGCCUGACGCAGCAACGCCGCGUGCGGGAAGAAGGCUCUCGGGUUGUAAACCGCUUUCAGAAGGAACGAAACUGACGGUACUUUCAGAAGAAGGUGCGGCCAACUACGU
rnacentral:rRNA from 1 species